GACGAACGCUGGCGGCGUGCUUAACACAUGCAAGUCGAACGGAAAGGCCCUGCUUUUGUGGGGUGCUCGAGUGGCGAAAGGGUGAGUAACAAGUGAGUAACCUGCCCUUGACUUUGGGAUAACUUCAGGAAACUGGGGCUAAUACCGGAUAGGAGCUCCUGCUGCAUGGGGGGGGUUGGAAAGUUUCGGCGGUUGGGGAUGGACUCGCGGCUUAUCAGCUUGUUGGUGGGGUAGUGGCUUACCAAGGCUUUGACGGGUAGCCGGCCUGAGAGGGUGACCGGCCACAUUGGGACUGAGAUACGGCCCAGACUCCUACGGGAGGCAGCAGUGGGGAAUAUUGCACAAUGGGCGGAAGCCUGAUGCAGCAACGCCGCGUGCGGGAUGACGGCCUUCGGGUUGUAAACCGCUUUCGCCUGUGACGAAGCGUGAGUGACGGUAAUGGGUAAAGAAGCACCGGCUAACUACGUG
rnacentral:rRNA from 1 species